UUCAGAUACAAAUUUUUUAGUUACUCGGAAAUUCAUUUAUACACUGAGUUGUGGCAACGCUCAUUUUGUGAGCAAUAAGUUUUAUUUUGUUGUGAUCAAAUCGGACAUGCCAACUCGUUGAAAUGUGUCACAGAUCCUAGAGACUGGCAUUAUUUCAAAUCGAUAAAAAUGAUCCAAUUGCUUUUCAAUUUUGUUACACUAAUUCAUAUCGCAACGUUGUUUCCGUAAGUUUUUUGUUGAUGCUUAUCGAUAGCCCCAUUGAUAACCGUAGGCGUAUCUGUGAUUCGUAUGAGAUUACCAUUAGUCCAUAAUAGUGAGUUUUGGGUUUUUGAUUAAUUGGUGAAAUAUAAAAUGGACAACCUGCAGUUAUUUGUGUUGUGUAUAAUACUAUUUGCCAUAUAUUUGGCAUUCAUGAUUUGGAAGAAUGAACUUAAUAAUUUGACAAAAGUUGUAGAAAAGUCAAAAGAUAAAGAACAGUCGUUGAAAGAUGUCGCUUUGGAGAAUAAAUUGAAACUGCACAUUUUUAAAUAUGAAAGUUCUAUGGAGAGAAAAAGACAGGAUCUAAUUGUCGAGCAAAGGAGAACAACACAGACCCAAAAAACAAAUGUUAAGGUUAACAUAAAUGUUAAUGUUAAUAUAGGAAAGGGUGGUCUGUUCUAGGGUGAUCAAAUCAGAAUCACAGCGUUAUCCAAUAAGAAUGUCGUAGUUGGAAAUCGAUAGAUCGAAAACACUCAUAUGCAUGAUGAAUUAAAACAUUUUAUCAUUAGAUUAGUAACUUCAAGCAAUGAAUUAAAAACUUUGUUUAAGUUCUCAAAUUUAAAUAAUAAAAAUUAUUUCUUAUUGGGCUUCUUAAUUUUAAUAAAAUUGCGUUUUAAGUUUUAAUGGAGUAGUUUUACUUGUGACCUGUAGAUAACAUUAUCGUUGUAUAGGCUCGAGUGAGUCAGUUACAACAAAUAAAUUCACAUAGUCCCAAUAAGAAGUAUUGCAACACAUCAUAAGAAGUGUACCAAAAUGCUGACUGGUGUCAAGGCUCAUUUUGGGAGCAAGAAGUUUUAUUUUGUAGUGAUCAAAUCGGACAUGCCAACUCGUUGAAAUGUGUCACAGAUUUUAGAGACUGGCAUUAUGUCAAAACGAUAAAAAUGAUCAAAUUGAUUUAAAAUUUUGCUACUUUAAUUCUUAUCGCAAAGUAGUUUCCGUAAGUUUUUAAUUUAUUCUCAUCGAUAUAAGCCCAUUGGCAACCGUAGGCGUAUCUGUGAUGAGCAACCUGCCGUUAUUACUGUUGUUUAUAACACUAUUUGCAAUAUGUUAAGCAUUCAUGUUUUUUAAGAACGAACUAAAUAACUUGACAAUAGUUGUUGAAGAGUCUAAAGAGAAAAAACAGUCAGUAUGUUCAUUUUGUUUAAAGCGCACGGGCCUGUUUACUUCUGGAUUUAUUAUUUUAGUUGAAAUAUGUCGCCUUGGAGAACAAAUUGAAACUGCACAUUCUUCAUUAUGAAAGUUCAAUGGAGAAAUUAAGGCAAGAUCAUAUAUUGGAGCUAAGGAGAACAAAAAUCACCCAAAACUCAAAUGUUAUGAUUAAUGUAAUUGUGGGAAAGGAGGUCUGUCCUAGGGUGACAUUAGUUUUUUCAUUAAAGAACGACAACGUUAUCCAAUAUUUGAAUUUGUAGCUUUUUCUAGAGAAUGUCAUAGCUGGAAAUCGAUAGAUCGAUAACACUUAUAUAUAUGAUCAAUUUAAAUAUUUUAUCAUAAGUUUAUUUUAAUGGUGUAAUUUUAGAUGUGACCUAUAGAUAACAUUAUCGUUGCAUACGCCAGAGUGAGUCAGUUUAGCGUAGGGUUGGUUUACAGUUGUCGUGCUUCGAAAUGCUAACUUUGGGACCUUUGAUUACUGCUGGAAUAUGUUUCAUUAUUUAUUUAUUGUUCAAAUAUUUGGUGGAAGAGCGUAAUAAGCUCUUAGCAGAUUUGGAAAAGGCCCGAACAGCCGAACAGUUGAUGAAGGACGAAAUUAAAGAUGUUAAAAUUAAGACCUGUGAAGAAAAGAUAAACGUCUUGGAGGAUAAAGUGUCGACUCUUAAUAAGGAAAUUAAACAUAAUAAUGAGCAACUUGCAAUCGAGUACGUGAAGAAGGAAGAAGAAGAAAAGUCAUGUACAUAUAAUAGCUUAAAUCAUUCAUUUUAUCACAUACUAGCUACAGAGUCUAUGUUCUUUAUCUGAUCCUUACAUAUGUAAAUGUUGUGCUUUAAAAAUAAAAACUACUAUGUAUUUUAUGCUUUGAUCAA